AAAUUGAAGAGUUUGAUCAUGGCUCAGAUUGAACGCUGGCGGCAGGCCUAACACAUGCAAGUCGAACGGUAACAGGAAGAAGCUUGCUUCUUUGCUGACGAGUGGCGGACGGGUGAGUAAUGUCUGGGAAACUGCCUGAUGGAGGGGGAUAACUACUGGAAACGGUAGCUAAUACCGCAUAACGUCGCAAGACCAAAGAGGGGGACCUUCGGGCCUCUUGCCAUCGGAUGUGCCCAGAUGGGAUUAGCUAGUAGGUGGGGUAACGGCUCACCUAGGCGACGAUCCCUAGCUGGUCUGAGAGGAUGACCAGCCACACUGGAACUGAGACACGGUCCAGACUCCUACGGGAGGCAGCAGUGGGGAAUAUUGCACAAUGGGCGCAAGCCUGAUGCAGCCAUGCCGCGUGUAUGAAGAAGGCCUUCGGGUUGUAAAGUACUUUCAGCGGGGAGGAAGGGAGUAAAGUUAAUACCUUUGCUCAUUGACGUUACCCGCAGAAGAAGCACCGGCUAACUCCGUGCCAGCAGCCGCGGUAAUACGGAGGGUGCAAGCGUUAAUCGGAAUUACUGGGCGUAAAGCGCACGCAGGCGGUUUGUUAAGUCAGAUGUGAAAUCCCCGGGCUCAACCCGGGAACUGCAUCUGAUACUGGCAAGCUUGAGUCUCGUAGAGGGGGGUAGAAUUCCGGUGUAGCGGUGAAAUGCGUAGAGAUCUGGAGGAAUACCGGUGGCGAAGGCGGCCCCCUGGACGAAGACUGACGCUCAGGUGCGAAAGCGUGGGGAGCAAACAGGAUUAGAUACCCUGGUAGUCCACGCCGUAAACGAUGUCGACUUGGAGGUUGUGCCCUUGAGGCGUGGCUUCCGGAGCUAACGCGUUAAGUCGACCGCCCUGGGAGUACGGCCGCAAGGUUAAAACUCAAAUGAAUUGACGGGGGCCCGCACAAGCGGUGGAGCAUGUGGUUUAAUUCGAUGCAACGCGAAGAACCUUACCUGGUCUUGACAUCCACGGAAGUUUUCAGAGAUGAGAAUGUGCCUUCGGGAACCGUGAGACAGGUGCUGCAUGGCUGUCGUCAGCUCGUGUUGUGAAAUGUUGGGUUAAGUCCCGCAACGAGCGCAACCCUUAUCCUUUGUUGCCAGCGGUCCGGCCGGGAACUCAAAGGAGACUGCCAGUGAUAAACUGGAGGAAGGUGGGGAUGACGUCAAGUCAUCAUGGCCCUUACGACCAGUGGCUACACACGUGCUACAAUGGCGCAUACAAAGAGAAGCGACCUCGCGAGAGCAAGCGGACCUCAUAAAGUGCGUCGUAGUCCGGAUUGGAGUCUGCAACUCGACUCCAUGAAGUCGGAAUCGCUAGUAAUCGUGGAUCAGAAUGCCACGGUGAAUACGUUCCCGGGCCUUGUACACACCGCCCGUCACACCAUGGGAGUGGGUUGCAAAAGAAGUAGGUAGCUUAACCUUCGGGAGGGCGCUUACCACUUUGUGAUUCAUGACUGGGGUGAAGUCGUAACAAGGUAACCGUAGGGGAACCUGCGGUUGGAUCACCUCCUUA
rnacentral:rRNA from 1 species